AUUCCAUGAAUAUAACAUGCUUUUUCUGUUGCACAACAAGUUAAAUGAAUAUAUAACCAAGGCAUAGAUAAAAACAUGCAGAAGCAAGUCUGAGGACCACCCUGGAUCAAAUAAGAACAAUUUAAAAUGGAAUAAUAUGAUAUAUCAACUAAAGAUUUUCAGCUAUAAAAAACCCCCUCAGUCUCUUCCCCCACAGUCAAGUACAGCCUAAAAGAAGACCAGGAAAUCUGAAAAUGCAGGAGUGGAAUAACAAUCCAUCAAAGAAUGACACAUUAGCAUGGAGACAGUCACAUUGCUUGUCCACUUGUCACAGCUGAACUCUAAGCUAUUCAGCCAACACCCUGAGACUGACCCCAACAAGGUGGUGGCUCUACAUGCUACCUCUUGCAUUGAAAACAUGGAAGAUUCCUGCUGGUUCCCAAAGUGUCUUAAAGGAAAAGGUUCAUCAAGGACUGGAAGCAACCAAGGUGAGUCUAGAGGAAAAAGACUUCACCUGGUACAAAUCUUUUCAGUCAACUCUAGCCAACGUGCCUACCAAAUUGCAAGACAAAUAUAGGGAGAAAUAUGGUGAAUAGUUUCUGGAUGAUGUGUAGUGGCACUAUAAUAUCAUAAUGGUAUUUCAAGUAGUUUCUGAAUAACAUAAGGUUAUCACAUAAAACUGUUGCUUUAAAUUGUCACAAUUUAGCAUUUUAACAUUCUUCCUAUUGCCUCCUAUGAAUGAUGUGAUGCAGAACAGGACCUGCUGUUGGAAGGAGAUAACUCAAAUGCUGUGCAUGCACAUUGAAACUGAUCUUUCACUGUCACAUCUCUGUGGUACACAAGA